GUGCAGCAGUCGAGAAACCUUUACAAUGCACGAAAGUGUGAUAAGGUUACCCGGAGUGCUAAAAUUAAAUUUUAGCUGUUAUAGGUGUGUAAAUAACCCUAUGAGAAAGGAGAGGGCAAGGCUGGUGCCAGCCGCCGCGGUAAAACCAGCUCUUCAAGUGGUCGGGAAUAUUAUUGGGCUUAAAGUGUCCGUAGCCGGUUUAGUAAGUUCCUGGUUAAAUCUGGCAGCUUAACUGUCAGUCAGCUAGGAAUACUACUUUACUAGAGGGUGGGAAAGGUUUGAGGUACUCCAGGGGUAGCGGUGAAAUGCGAUAAAUCCUUGGGGGACCACCAGUGGCGAAGGCGUCAAACUGGAACACGCCUGACGGUGAGGGACGAAAGCCAGGGGAGCGAACGGGAUUAGAUACCCGUGUAGU
rnacentral:rRNA from 1 species